GGUGAUAUAGCUCAGUUGGUAGAGUGCUUGCCUCACAUGCACAAGGUCCUGGGUUCAAACCCAGCACCA
rnacentral:tRNA from 1 species